AUGUCCUGGGCCAGGAGGCCAGCAUGUUGGCACUGGAUGUCCACUGUGCCCACCCUUCCCUCCAAGCCCCCAGAAGAUACAGAAGAGGAAGAGGCAGGACUCGUGCCUUCUCCCUGGGGUGUGACGUGGCACAGCGGCCGGCACUGUCCCCCAUCCCCCGACCCUCGGAGGCGCCGGAGCUGCACCUUCACAUUUUCCACUGAAGUGGUGCCAACCCCAGAGCCUCCCCCCGGAUUCCUUGGCCGGGGCUCUGGGCAGCCACAGGCAAGGUGACCUCAUCGCCCGUGGGCUCCCUCCCCUGGUGGGGCCUUAGGCAAAAGCGGGCCGGGACUCGGGGAAGACCCCCGCCACCCACCCCUCAGGGAGGCAGAAUCCCCCACCUCGUGACCUGCAAGUGUUCAGGGACUCCCGCAGCCCCCGGCCUGUCCCCAUCCCACCCCCAGUGGGCAGUGCAGCCACAUUCCUGGAUACACAUUCCUGGUCGAGGCCCCUGCCAGCCACCACCCUCCCUCCACCCAGCACGGAGACUGCUGCCCAGGCAGCCGCUUCCUGCAACAGUAGCCACAGGGGGAGGGGCCCAGAUGAGACGGCACAGCUGGGCGCCCCCCUUGAAGCAGGACGGGACCCUCCGGGCUCGGCCCCUCGGCACCUGCCCAGCCCCACCUGCCAGCGUUAGUCCUCCCGGCUCCCCCGUCCUCCAGGUGCGCCCCCGAGCCCUGCUAGGAAAGCCCUUCCUUCUCCUGUGCCCCCCAAGUCUGCAGAGCCACCCCUGAACUGGGCAGAUGGGGGUUGGGGGUCCGUGGCCCAGAGAGGAGCCCACCGGAGCACUUGGCAGGGGAGGAGGAUGCGGGUGGGGGUCUCCCGAGCAGAAGCACAGGCAGGAGCCACAGCCUGUGCCAGACCUGGUGUUUGAUGCCAGCAGAGGGCAGGUGCAGGACAGAAAGGCUGUGCUGCCAGGGACCCCAGGCCAAAGCUGUCGGGGGGCAGCAAAGGGGCCGGGCUUGCCCUCUGGCCCCUCGAUGCUCCUCGGUGCCCCCUCCUCCGGGCACAGAAGGCCCAAGUGUACAUGGGAGGGAGGCAGAGGCAGACAGGGUGUGGCCGGGCACUGUGGCCAGGGCAGCUGGGUGAGCUUGGUCAUGCCAAGGCAGGCCUGGGUCAUGGGUCCUGCUUGAUCCUCCUGGCCCCGCUAACAGGGGAGAGAGGAGGCCCCGCCGCCCCGGCAGCACCUAGCAGGGGGCUCCCCCUUGCCCACGUCCCCCGAGACAGCAAGAUGCUCCAUCCAGGCCCCUUCGCAGCGGCGCGCGAAGGCAGAGGGACGGAGGGCCCCUGCUCCAAGCCGCCUCCGGGGGCUGGGAGGCGGGGAGAGGGCGGGCCGGCGCGGGGGAGGGGCCGCCGCCGCUAUAAAGGCCCGGCCCGCGGCCCCGCUCCAGCCCGGGACGCACACGUGCGCGCUGCGCCGCCGCAGCCGCCACCGCGGGAGCCACCGCCGGAGCCGGAGCCCGAGACCCGCGCCUCCCUGGCCCGGCGGCCGGCGGCGGCGGCAUGCGCUGCGCUCGGCGGAGCUGACGGCGGCCGCCGGCCCACGUCCUUCGCCAUGCUGCGCUCGGCGCCGCCCGGCCGCUACCUGUACCCCGAGGUGAGCCCGCUGUCGGAGGACGAGGACCGUGGCAGCGAGAGCUCGGGCUCCGACGAGAAGCCCUGCCGCGUGCACGCGGCGCGCUGCAGCCUCCAGGGCGGCCGGAGGCGGGCCGGGGGCCGGCGGGCGGGGGGCGGCGGCGGCGGCCCGGGGGCCGGGGGGCGGCCGGGCCGCGAGCCCCGGCAGCGACACACGGCGAACGCGCGCGAGCGGGACCGCACCAACAGCGUGAACACGGCCUUCACGGCGCUGCGCACGCUCAUCCCCACCGAGCCGGCCGACCGCAAGCUGUCCAAGAUCGAGACCCUGCGCCUGGCCUCCAGCUACAUCUCGCACCUGGGCAACGUGCUGCUGGUGGGCGAGGCCUGCGGCGACGGGCAGCCGUGCCACUCGGGGCCCGCCUUCUUCCACGCGGCGCGCGCGGGCAGCCCCCCGCCCCCGCCCCCGCCGCCCCCCGCCCGCGACGGCGAGAACGCCCAGCCCAAACAGAUCUGCACCUUCUGCCUCAGCAACCAGAGAAAGUUGACAGCACGCGCGAGCUCCUGGGGCCUGAACAUCUGGGAAAUUUAAUUUUACAAUUUCGGCUGUGCAGCAGUGUUCUCCUCCCCAAACUGCACGGGGAAGAUGGGAGCAAGGACCGCGACAGGAAGACUGCGAUUCGGAGUUAGAGGCCGAUGCGGCCGGCCGGCCACGCAGAGCCCCCGUGGGCCUGACUCCCCGAGGGCGCCCCCAGCCCAGCCCUGCCCUGCCCCCCCGGCCGUGAGCGGGGCCAAUGGACAGACAGGCAGCAGGACGCGGAGCUGGCCCCAGCACUUGCCCAGGGCCACUGGAACUUUCCGUGCUGGCUUCCUACCCGAGUUUCUUCUGGUCACUCUGUGCUGGCAUCUUGUGCCUUUGAUAUGAUAAUAUAAAGUCUGGAAAUUUUGUAUAAUUAAAAAACAAAACAGUAUCUUCCAAACACA